GCAGGCGCGUAAAUUACCCAUCCUGAUACGGGGAGGUAGUGACAAUAAAUAACAAUACGGGGCCCAUCGGGUCUUGUAGUUGGAAUGAGUACAAUCUAAAUCCCUUAACGAGGAUCAAUUGGAGGGCAAGUCUGGUGCCAGCAGCCGCGGUAAUUCCAGCUCCAAUAGCGUAUAUUAAAGUUGUUGCAGUUAAAAAGCUCGUAGUUGGAUUUCUGGUAGGAGUGACCGUUCCGAACUUGAUUGUUCGUGUAUUGUGUUUUCUCCAGCCAUCCUUGUGGAGAACUUUUCUUGCAUUAAUUUGUAGGGAUUGGGACCCGCAUCGUUUACUGUGAAAAAAUUAGAGUGUUUAAAGCAGGCAAUCGCUUGAAUACAUUAGCAUGGAAUAAUAAGAUAGGACUUUGGUACUAUUUUGUUGGUUUGCAUACCAAAUUAAUGAUCAACAGGAACAGUUUGAGGAUAUUCGUAUGAACAUGUCAGAGGUGAAAUUCUUGGAUUUUGAUCAGACGAACUACUGCGAAAGCAUUUAUCAAGGAUGUUUUCAUUAAUCAAGAACGAAAGUUAGGGGAUCGAAGAUGAUUAGAUACCAUCGUAGUCUUAACCAUAAACUAUGCCGACUAGGGAUUGGCGGACGUUGUCUAUAUGACUCCGCCAGCACCUCAUGAGAAAUCAAAGUCUUUGGGUUCC
rnacentral:rRNA from 1 species